rnacentral:rRNA from 1 species
UUCUAUGGCCAUGCCACCCUAAUCCCAUCUGAUCUCGGAAGCUAAGCAGGGUCGGGCCUGGUUAGUACUUGGAUGGAAGACCACCUAGGAAGACCAGGUGCUGUAGGCG